GACUUAGCUCAGUGUGAAAACAUCUGCUUUCCAUGCAGAAGAUCCCAGGUUCAAUAAUCCCUGGCAUCUCCA